UGGGGAAUUUUGUCCAAUGGGCGCAAGCCUGAGACAGCAACGCCGCGUGUGGGAUGAAGGCCCUCGGGUCGUAAACCACUGUCAGAGGGGAAGAACGGUGCCGUGGCCAAUACCCACGGUGAUUGACGGUACCCUCAAAGGAAGCACCGGCUAACUCCGUGCCAGCAGCCGCGGUAAUACGGAGGGUGCAAGCGUUGUUCGGAAUUACUGGGCGUAAAGCGCAUGUAGGCGGUUGGGUAAGUCGAAUGUGAAAGCCCAGGGCUCAACCCUGGAACUGCAUCCGAAACUGCCCAGCUAGAGUCCCGGAGAGGAAGGCAGAAUUCCCAGUGUAGGGGUGGAAUCCGUAGAUAUUGGGAGGAAUACCAGUGGCGAAGGCGGCCUUCUGGACGGUGACUGACGCUGAGAUGCGAAAGCGUGGGGAGCAAACAGGAUUAGAUACCCCCGUAGUCC
rnacentral:rRNA from 1 species